ensembl:lncRNA
AAAACCCUUAGGACAAUGUUAGAGGGAAGGAAAGUCUGCAACAAUUCCCUUCUGGAGCUCCCUCCAAGUGUCCUGUCAGAGAUAUACCCACUAUAGAUUUAACUGAUGUAAUUUCUCCCUGGAACGCAAGCCACCCCAAAAUGGGCAGGGAGCCAUGACCCAGCACUUUCUAGGGUUCGUGCUAGAGUGGUUCAGCUCAGUCAUAGGCAUAUGCCUACUAGGCGCAACCUGGUCUUCAGAAAGGAGGUUGACAACAUGUCAGCUUCUCAUCCACACCAGUCAUACACCUGAUAGCUGAAGAUCACAUUUGUCACUGCCUCCUCCAACAAAAAAUGUCAUUUGAUGCAGGAGCAAACUUGUCAUCACCUCAAGCUGACCAUGUGAAUCCUUUUCCCAGCUUCAUGCUCAGAAAUUUCAUGACACAGUAGAGAUUUACACAUGUAGGACAGGAACACAGGGAUGAAACAAGCCAGCUCUUUAUUUUCACUAAUGUUCUUUCCUUUUUGCUGCCUUCUCCCAGGUUUGAUGGGAGCCCUUGGGAAUCUACAUGUAAGCAAUACUCAUGUCUUCAUUCUGCUGCCAGCUUCUCUCAGCCUUCCCCUCCACUGUAAAUCAACGCGGGGAGAGAAAUAAAUGAAGAAUGGGGGAAAUGCCUCUUGGGAAACUGACUUUGUGGAGCAAGGUCUGCCAAUGGAUAACCCGACCUUGUGCAUAUAAUUUUGGAAUUAGUAUUUGCCAGGAUUCUACACAAUGUCCCUGUUCUGUUUUUAUAAGCAUCUGAUUGCAUGGAACACAAGCUUUUAUAUCUUUUUCUAGGCCACAUUUCUAUUUUGUAAUAUGUUUCGAAUCAAAGGGAAAAAGCAAUCUCACACAAUCAAGCUAGAGCUGCCAUUAGAUGAUUCAUUCUCUUUCAAAGAGGAUUACCGGUCAAAGCCACCCAAAAACAACCUCAGGAUGAUCUUGCAAUUUUGCAGGGAGGAUAUGCCUAAAAAGAGUUAAGCAGGCCUGCAAGAUUAGUCAGCAACACCUGUUUUACUGUCUACAUAUUCAGUUCUCUAUUACCGCUGCCCCUAAUCCCUCUCUUUUUCCUCCUCUUUAAAAAAUUAUGAGUUUGGCACAGUAACACCAAACAAGUGCAUUCCAAGAGUUGAACAAUUUGGUAUACUUAAUAGGUACCUACUCCCAUUAUAAAUUAUGUAUACUGUAUGAAAACAUAGGGCAUUCUUCUCUCACUUACACUAGUGUAAAUCAGGAAUAACUCUGUGGAAGUCAGUGGAGUUACACUAACGUACGUGAGAGAAGAAUCUACCCCAAUGUAGCUACCAGAGUUGCCAACUCUAAUGAUUUAUUGUGAGUCACCUGAUGUUUGAUUUUUUUUUAGCUCCUGGGGUCAUGUUAUUUUGUGAAAAUAUCAGCUUUCAUUUACUAUUUAAAAAAUUAAGUCUGCAGGGGAAAGCUUGAAUAUGCAAACACUUGACUAAAAAAAACCAGAAGAACCCCCACAUUUUAUAUUGUUUAAAAUCUCAUUAGUUUGAAGCCAAUUGCAUGAUUUUGCAGGGGCCUAAACACUUGGGGUUGCAACACUGAGCUUCCCUUCAAUAAGGCAGGUGUACGUGAUAGGUAAGACAGACCA